ACUCAUUUUCGGUCUUUUGGCUAAGAUCAAGUGUAAUAUUUGUUUUACCAGUUCAAUAUCUGGUAUAUGAACAAUUUGUUCACUUUGACAUUAAAUUCAUUCAUUAUGGGUAUUUUUAUGUGGAGGGUCUAUUAAGACUCCUAAGUGUCGCUUAAUCACCC
rfam:Zea mays cultivar B73 chromosome 10, whole genome shotgun sequence.